rnacentral:rRNA from 1 species
CCCCUAGACGUUCUGGGCUGCACGCGCGCUACAAUAAUACGCACAGCGAGUAUCACCGAGCUCGAAAGGGCAAGGUAAACAAUAGAAAAGGUACUGUAAUGGUUAUAGAUCCUUGUAAUUAUUGAUCUUCAACGAGGAAUUCCUAGUAAGUAUGUGUCAUCAUCACGCACUGAUUACGUCCCUGCCCUUUGUACACACCGCCCGUCGCUCCUACCGAUUGAUUGAUCCGGUGAAUUACAUAGAAUUUUGCGUUUUACAUGUCGGAAGACGAAGUGUUUUAAACCUUAUCAUUUAGAGGAAGGAGAAGUCGUAACA